rnacentral:rRNA from 1 species
ACUCAGAUAUCAAAGCAAGGCUUUAGAGCCAUUAACCGAUUUGUAUAAAUUUACUUCCAAAAGAGGUAAACUUAAAAUCAGUCGUUCGUGGCUUAAUUACAUGACUCCACUAUCAUUGGCCAUUUGGUGGCUUGAUGAUGGCUCCAUUAUUGCUAAUGGGCGUAAAGGAGUUAUUUGUACAGAUGGAUUUGAUGAAAAAUCCGUUAAAGUUUUAGCUAGAUAUUUGCAAGUAGUUUGGAAAAUCGAAACUAAACCGGCAAUUAUUACUAGACCGCGUAAUGGCAAACAACAAGAAUAUUGGCGUUUGUGGUUAAGGUCAACAAGUGAAUUAAAAAAAUUUUUGCAGAUUAUUUUACCUUAUAUAGAGGUAGAAGAAAUGUUACCCAAAGUGAUAUUGUUAUAUCACGAUUAUCAACUUCAACAACGCUGGAUUUCUGAGAUAGUAAAAUCUACUAAUUUUUCUGAAGCUACUAUUAACAAAUAUGUAGAUUUAAAGAAAAAUAAGUGGAAAGAAUAUCAGAAAAAGAUAUAGUCCAACCUUUAUAGUAAUAUAAAGAAGCAUUGACCCCAGUAGUCCACGCCGUAAACGAUGGAUGCUAAGCAUUGGAAGUAUCGACCCUUUCAGUGCUGUUUACCUAAGCUAACGCAUUAAGCAUCCCGCCUGGGGAGUACGGCCGCAAGGCUAAAACUCAAAGGAAUAGACGGGGACCCGCACAAGCGGUGGAGCAUGUGGUUUAAUUCGAUGAUAAGCGAGGAACCUCACCAAGGUUUGACAUCUAGCUGCAGACCCCUGGAAACAGGGGAGCCUUCGAGGGUGCUAGACAGAUGCUGCAUGGUUGUCGUCAGCUCGUGCUGUGAAGUGUACCGUUAAGUCGGGAAACGAGCGCAACCCCUAUCCUAUGUUUCAUGUGUCAUAGGAGACUGCCUGCUUUAAGCAGGAGGAAGGCGGGGAUGAUCGGAUUGGAGUCUGCAACUCGACUCCAUGAA